GGAUGGGUGACUGAGAGGCCGAAAGUACCAGGUUGCUAACUUGGCGAACGAGCAAUCGUUCCGUGGGUUCGAAUCCCACCCCAUCCGCCA
rnacentral:tRNA from 2 species